UCCCUGGUGGUUUAGAUGGUAAAGAAUCCGCCUGCGAUGCGGGAGACCUAGGUUCAAUCCCUGGGUUGGGAA
rfam:TPA: Bos taurus chromosome 6, whole genome shotgun sequence.